GAUGAAGAACGUAGCGAAAUGCGAUAAGUAAUGUGAAUUGCAGAAUUCAGUGAAUCAUCGAAUCUUUGAACGCACCUUGCGCCCUUUGGCUAUUCCGAAGGGCAUGCCUGUUUGAGUAUCAUGAACACCUCAACUCUCAUGGCUUGCCAUGAUGAGCUUGGACUUUUAGGGGUCUUGCUGGCCUGUGGUCAGCUCCUCUCAAAUGAAUUAGCCUGCCAGUGUUUGGUGGCAUCACAGGUGUGAUAACUAUCUACGCUUGUGGUUUUCCACCAGGUAACCUUCAGUGAUGAAGGUUCGCUGGGGCUCAUAAACGUCUCUCCUCAGUGAGGACAGCUCUUUGAACGUUUGAUCUCAAAUCAGGUAGGACUACCCGCUGAACUUAAGCAUAUCAAUAAGCGGAGGA
rnacentral:misc_RNA from 1 species